AACGAACGCUGGCGGCGCGCCUAACACAUGCAAGUCGAACGAGAAGGCGUAGCAAUACGCUUGUAGAGUGGCGAACGGGUGAGUAAUACGUGGGUGACCUACCCUCGAGUGGGGAAUAACCCGCCGAAAGGCGGGCUAAUGCCGCGUACGCUUCCGUCCUCACGGGGACGGAAGGAAAGCUGUACCGUGGGUACGGCGCUCAAGGAUGGGCUCACGUCCUAUCAGCUUGUUGGUAGGGUAACGGCCUACCAAGGCUACGACGGGUAGCUGGUCUGAGAGGACGAUCAGCCACACUGGCACUGCGACACGGGCCAGACUCCUACGGGAGGCAGCAGUGAGGAAUAUUGCGCAAUGGGCGAAAGCCUGA
rnacentral:rRNA from 1 species